ACAGUGCACAGGACAACGCCACAUCAAAGAAUAACCCAGUCCCAAAUGUCAGUGGUGCUGAUGUUAAGAAAUCCUGCAUUAAGACCAAAAAGCCAGAUGAGUUUGGAGUCACUAAGGAGAGGUGCAGGAGAGGCGGACAGUGGUUCUUUCAACUGCUCCUUAUGUGAAGAAUUUCUCCAGGAUUCAUCAUUCCAUCUGGAUCUGUAUAAAUAAAGCUGAAGUUCUGGUCAUGACCACUCCCUGGAUCACUCCUGCCCCUGUGUUCCUGGAGCCUCAGAGUUUUGCGUCACAUGAGCUCCCAAGCUCUUCCUUUCUCAUUCAUCUGCUUUGGUUCAUUCUUGUUGAGACUCACUAUAAGGAAAGCACCUCAUCCUGCUACAGCUGGGUACAGAACUCUGAUGUCUUCAUAAAAGUUGCUGCCUCUUGGGAGCUGUGAGCAUUGGGAUCAGCCAGUAUGGCACAUUUGCUGCUACCUCAGGGCGUGAGAGCAUGCUAAGCUCCACAUGAAGGCCUCACUUUCCCACACUAUCUCCACUGAGCACUGAAGUGAUGAUGUUGUGUCCCUGUGUCUCAGGGGUAAAUGGAGGCAGCCUUUUUCUUUUCAGGGCUGACACAAAAAGUCAAUGGGGCUUGGGGAUGAAUAACAACAAAGGACAGGCCCUCUUGCAUGAGGUCAGUCCCUCCUGCUCCUGCCCUCAAAUGUAUAUGCAAAACUAUUUUCCUUGUUCUGUGCAUGAGGUCACUGUCUAUGGUCCCAUUGAUAUGGUUUGGCUAUGGACUGACCUAAAUCUCAUCUUGAAUUGUAAUAAUCCCCAUAUGUCAAGGGUGGGGUCAGGUGGAGGUAAUGGAAUCACAGGGGGUGGCUUCCCCCAUACUAUUCUCAUGAUAGUGAAAAAGUCUCACGAAAUCUGAUAGUUUUAUAAAUGGGAGUUUCCCUGCACAAGCUCUCUUGCCUGCUGCCAUGUAAGACAUGAUUUUGCUCCUCAUUUGCCUUCCAUAAUGAUUGUGAGACCUCCCCAGCCAUGUGGAACUGUGAGUCAAUUAAACCUCUUUCCUUUAUAAAUUACCCAGUGUUGGGUAUAUCUUUAUUAGCAGUGUGGGAACAGGCUAAUACAGUAAUUGGUACCAGUAGAGUGGGAUUCUGCUGUAAAGAUACCCCAAAAAUGUGGAGGUGACUAUGGAACUGGGUAACAGGCAGAAGUUGGAACAGUUUGGAGGACUCAGAAGACAGGAAAAUGUGGAAAAGUUUGGAGCUUUAUAGAGACUCGGAGGGCUCAUAAGCCAGGAAAAUACGGGAAAGUUUGGAAUUUCCUAGAGACUUGUUGAAUGGUUUUGACCAAAAUGCUGAUAGUGAUAUGGAAAAUAAAGUCCAGGUUGAGGAGGUCUCAGAUGGAGAUGAAGAGCAAAGGUAACUCUUGUCAUGCUUUAGCAAAAAGACUGGCAGCAUUUUGCUUCUGCCAUAGAGAUCUGUGGAACUUGGAACUUGAGAAAGAUGAUUUAGGCAUCCGGUGGAAGAAAUUUUUAAAUAGCAAGGCAUUCAAGAUGUGACUUGGGUGCUGUUAAAAGCAUUCAGUUUUCUGUAUUCACAAAGAUAUGGUUUGGAAUCAGAACUUAUGCUUAAAAGGGAAGCAGAGCAUAAAAAUUUAGAAAAUUUGCAGGCUGAUGAUGCAAUAGAAAAGAAAAACCCAUUUUCUGAGGAGAAAUUCAAGCCUGCUGCAGAAAUUUGCGUAAAUAAUGAGGAGAAAAAUGUUAAUCACCAAGAAAAUGCAGAAAAUGUCUCCAGGGUAUCACAGAGAGAUUUGCAGCAGCCCCUCCCAUCACAGGCCUAGAGGCCUAGGAGGAAAAAAUGGUUUCGUGGGCUGGGCCCAUGGCCUCGCUGCUCUGUGCAGCCUAGGGACUUGGUGCUCUGUGUCCCAGCCACUCUAGCUGUGGCUAAAAGAGGACAAGGUACAGCUCAGGCUGUGGCUUCAGAGGGUGGAAGCCCCAAGCCUUGGCAGCUUCCAUGUGGUGUUGAGCUUGUGGGUGCACAGAAGUUAGGAAUUGAGGUUUGGAAACCUCUGCCUAGUUUCAGAAGAAGUAUGGAAGCACCUGGAUGUCCAGGCAGAAGUUUGCCGUAGGGGUAGGGUCCUCAUGGAGAACCUCUGCUAGGGCUGUGUGAAAGAGCAAUGUGGGGUGGGGUCCCCCAGACAGAGUCCCUACUUGGGCACUGCCUAGUGGAGCUGUGAGAAGAAGCCCACCAUCCCGCAGACUCCAGAGUGGUAGGUCCACCAAUAGCUUGCACCGUGCACCUGGAAAAGUGGCAGACACUCAAUGCCAGCCCAUGAAAGCAACCAGGAGGGAGGCUGUACCCUACAAAGCCACAGAAUGGAGCUGCCCAAGACCAUGGGAACACACCUCUUGCAUCUGUAUGACCUGGAUGUGAGAAAUGGAGUCAAAGAAGAUCAUUUUGGAGCUUUAAGAUUUGACUGCCCCCCUGGAUUUCAAACUUGGAUGGGGUCUGUAGCUCCUUCGUUUUGGCCAGUUUCUUCCAUUUGGAACAGCUGUAUUUGACCAAUGACAGUACCCUCAUUAUAUCUAGGAAGCAACUUACUUGGUUUUGAUUUUACAGGCUCAUAGGUGGAAGAGAGUUUCCUGGUUUCAGAUGAGACUUUGGACUGGGACUUUUGGGUUAAUGCUGUAAUGAGUUAAGACUUUGGGGGACAGUUGGGAAGGCAAGAUUGUUUUUUGAAAUGUGAAAGUGACAUGAGAUUUGGGAGGGUCUGGGGGCAGAAUGAUGUGGUUUGGGUGUUUCCCGACCCAAAUUUCAUCUUGAAUUGUAAUAAUCCACACAUGUCAAGAACAGGGCCAGGUGAAGAUACUUGAAUCAUGGGGGUGAUUUCCUCCAAACUGUUCUCAUGGUAGUGAAUAAAUCUCAAGAGAUCUGAUGGUUUUAUAAAUGGGAUUUCCUCUGCACAAACUUUCUUUCCUGUCACCAUGUAAGACGUGACUUUGCUCAUCAUUCAUCUUCCACCAUGUUUGUAAGGCCUCCCCAAC
ensembl:lncRNA LINC01182 long intergenic non-protein coding RNA 1182